rnacentral:piRNA from 1 species
UACUAGGUCAGAAUGUAUCAAUGUUAAGG